ACCUUUGUUUCCAUCCAUGUUGCCGUGAUAUAAGGUUGUCCUAAAAUCAACGGAUAAGACGUUGUAUCUUGAACGAAGAAAUGUUGCUCCGUCGCAACAUCCCCAAUCCGAAUUUUGACAUCUGGACAAGCUCCAUAUAAUUCGCCUCGUGUGUUAUUAGCUGCUCGUAUUGCCCAUCCAUGUUCCAUACCAAUUGGCCAUUUUUGCUUCUUAUAAAGAUCUUUAGACAUGAGAUUUAUUUCAGAACCAUGGUC
rnacentral:lncRNA from 1 species